CCCUUAGAUGUUCUGGGCCGCACGCGCGCUACACCGAUGCAUUCAACGAGUCUAAAACCUGCUCUGAUAGGGGUGGGUAAUCUUUUGAAUGUGCAUCGUGAUUGGGAUAGAUGAUUGAAAUUUUUCAUCUUCAACGAGGAAUGCCUAGUAAACGCAAGUCAUCAGCUUGCAUUGAUUACGUCCCUGCCCUUUGUACACACCGCCCGUCGCUCCUACCGAUUGAAUGAUCCGAUGAAUAUCAUGGAUUGAGGAUGCAAGUAGGUUCACCUAUCUUCAUCUUCGAGAAGUGAAGUAAAUCUUAUCAUUUAGAGGAAGGAGAAGUCGUAACA
rnacentral:rRNA from 1 species